AUUAAACGCUGGCGGCAUGCCUUACACAUGCAAGUCGAACGGUAGCGCGGGGCAACCUGGCGACGAGUGGCGAACGGGUGAGUAAAGCAUCGGAACGUGCCCUGGAAUGGGGGAUAACGUAGCGAAAGUUACGCUAAUACCGCAUAUUCUGUGAGCAGGAAAGCAGGGGACCGCAAGGCCUUGCGCUCUUUGAGCGGCCGAUGUCAGAUUAGCUAGUUGGUGAGGUAACGGCUUACCAAGGCGACGAUCUGUAGCGGGUCUGAGAGGAUGAUCCGCCACACUGGAACUGAGACACGGUCCAGACUCCUACGGGAGGCAGCAGUGGGGAAUUUUGGACAAUGGGGGGCAACCCUGAUCCAGCCAUUCCGCGUGAGUGAAGAAGGCC
rnacentral:rRNA from 1 species